rnacentral:rRNA from 1 species
CAGCCGCCACGGGAAUACGGAGGGUGCAAGCGUUAAUCGGAAUUACUGGGCGUAAAGCGUGCGUAGGUGGUGGUUUAAGUCCGUUGUGAAAGCCCUGGGCUCAACCUGGGAAUUGCAGUGGAUACUGGGUCACUAGAGUGUGGUAGAGGAUAGUGGAAUUUCCGGUGUAGCAGUGAAAUGCGUAGAGAUCGGAAGGAACAUCUGUGGCGAAGGCGACUAUCUGGGCCAACACUGACACUGAGGCACGAAAGCGUGGGGAGCAAACAGGAUUAGAUACCCCCGUAGUCCCUGUCUCUUAUAC